rnacentral:tRNA from 1 species
GCAGUGGGGGUUCAGUGGUAGAAUUCUCACCUUCUAUGUGGGAUACCUGGGUUUGAUACCUGGCCAAUGCA